UAGUUUAAGCUUCUUGAGAAGCUGAAAAGGAAAGAGUAUUACUGGCCACAUUUAGAUCUCACCAGUGUAGAGUUGAUUCAUGAGGCUAAAAGCAUUGAGUUCUACCAUUUAAUACAGCUUACUUUGUAAAGAAUUAGACAUUUAAAAGGCUAUUAAAUAUUUACUGCUUUUUUUCUGAGCCAGAAGGGACAUUUGAGGGUAAGCAGAUUGGUUUUCUUUUGUUUUUUUUUAAAGAAUAGCACUUAAAAAAAAAAAUCACUGCAUGAACAAAUUUUGUAAUAUGAGUAAAUCUGCCAUUGAUCCAGACUUUAGCAGCAGAGACUGUGUCAGUCACAAUUAAUCAGCUUGAGUAUGUGAUCUGAAAUCUUCAAUUACCCAUUAAAAUCUAGACAUCAACUUGAAGAAAUGACUGACCU
rnacentral:lncRNA from 1 species